rnacentral:rRNA from 1 species
AGAGUUUGAUUCUGGCUCAGGAUGAACGCUGGCGGCGUGCUUAACACAUGCAAGUCGAACGAAGCAGCUUUCUUGCUUGCAAGAGAGUUGACUUAGUGGCGGACGGGUGAGUAACGCGUGGGUAACCUGCCUCAUACAGGGGGAUAACAGUUGGAAACGACUGCUAAGACCGCAUAACCCGCUAGUGUCGCAUGACACGGACGGAAAAUAUUUAUAGGUAUGAGAUGGGCCCGCGUCUGAUUAGCUAGUUGGUAAGGUAACGGCUUACCAAGGCGACGAUCAGUAGCCGACUUGAGAGAGUGAUCGGCCACAUUGGGACUGAGACACGGCCCAAACUCCUACGGGAGGCAGCAGUGGGGAAUAUUGGACAAUGGGGGAAACCCUGAUCCAGCGAACCGCCGCGUGAGUGAAGAAGUAUUUCGGUAUGUAAAGCUCUAUCAGCAGGGAAGAUAAUGACAGUACCUGACUAAGAAGCCCCGGCUAACUACGUGCCAGCAGCGGC